rnacentral:rRNA from 1 species
UGAAUACGAGACACUAAGGUGUUGAAGUAGUGUAUGUCAUACUUCCAAGAAAAGCUUGCACUGUCAUAAAUAGAAAAUGCCUGUACCAUAACCGACACAGGUGGGUAGGUAGAGUAUACUAAGGGGCGCGAGAUAACUCUCUCUAAGGAACUCGGCAAAAUAACUCCGUAACUUCGGGAGAAGGAGUGCCUUAUUUAUAAGGUUGCAAUAACAAGAUCCAAGCAACUGUUUAUCAAAAACACAGGUCUCCGCUAAGUCGUAAGACGAUGUAUGGGGGCUGACGCCUGCCCAGUGCCAGAAGGUUAAAGAAGUUGGUUAGCAAUAGCGAAGCUGGUAACUGAAGCCCUGGUGAACGGCGGCCGUAACGAUAACGGUCCUAAGGUAGCGAAAUUCCUUGUCGGGUAAGUUCCGACCCGCACGAAAGGCGUAAUGAUUUGGAUACUGUCUCGGAGAGGGGCUCGGUGAAAUAGACUUGUCUGUGAAGAUGCGGACUACCUGCACCAGGACAGAAAGACCCUAUGAAGCUUUACUGUAACUUGAAAUUGAAAUUGGACUUUAUUCGCGCAGCAUAGGUGGGAGGCGUUGAUUAUAAUCUCGCGGGAUUAUUGGAGCCAUCAGUGAGAUACCACUCUUGUAAUGUUAGAUUUCUAACUUUGAAUCAUUAUCUGGUCAAAGGACAGUUUCAGGCGGGCAGUUUGACUGGGGCGGUCGCCUCCUAAACGGUAACGGAGGCGUACAAAGGUUUCCUCUGAACGGUUAGAAAUCGUAUCUAGAGUGUAAAGGCAUAAGGAAGCUUGACUGUGAGACCUACAAGUCGAGCAGGGACGAAAGUCGGUCUUAGUGAUCUGACGGUACUGAGUGGAAGGGCCGUCACUCAACGGAUAAAAGUUACUCUAGGAUAACAGGCUGAUCUCCCCCAAGAGUUCACAUCGACGGGGAGGUUUGGCACCUUGAUGUCGGCUCAUCGCAUCCUGGGGCGGUAGUACGUCCCAAGGGUUGGGCUGUUCGCCCAUGAAAGCGGUACGCGAGCUGGGUUCAGAACGUCGUGAGACAGUUCGGUCCAUAUCCGGUGUAGGCGUUAGAAUAUUGAGAGGAGCCUUCUUUAGUACGAGAGGACCGAGAAGGACAUACCUCUGGUGUACCAGUUAUCGUGCCAACGGUAAACGCUGGGUAGCUAUGUAUGGAGUGGAUAACCGCUGAAAGCAUCUAAGUGGGAAGCCCACCUCAAGAUAAGUAUUCUC